rnacentral:snRNA from 1 species
UUUUCAGCUUAAUAUCUGAAAGUUCCAGUAUAUUAAACUGAUUUUUGUAACUCGACUCGACGGGAUGUUCGGGGCUCGCUCCACUCCCGUCACGGGUCG